UACGUAGGGACCAAGCGUUGUUCGGAUUUACUGGGCGUAAAGGGCGCGUAGGCGGUUCGUCAAGUCAGUUGUGAAAUCUCCGAGCUUAACUCGGAACGGUCAACUGAUACUGUCAAACUAGAGUACAGAAGGGGCAAUCGGAAUUCUUGGUGUAGCGGUGAAAUGCGUAGAUAUCAAGAGGAACACCUGAGGUGAAGACGGGUUGCUGGGCUGAUACUGACGCUGAGGCGCGAAAGCCAGGGGAGCAAACGGG
rnacentral:rRNA from 1 species